GACGAACGCUGGCGGCGUGCUUAACACAUGCAAGUCGAACGAUGAAACUGGAGCUUGCUCCGGUGGAUUAGUGGCGAACGGGUGAGUAACACGUGAGUAAUCUGCCCUUGACUCUGGGAUAACUGCGGGAAACUGUAGCUAAUACCGGAUACGACACCUUCGGGCAUCCGAUGGGUGUGGAAAGAAUUUCGGUCAAGGAUGAACUCGCGGCCUAUCAGCUAGUUGGUGAGGAAAUGGCUCACCAAGGCGACGACGGGUAGCCGGCCUGAGAGGGUGACCGGCCACACUGGGACUGAGACACGGCCCAGACUCCUACGGGAGGCAGCAGUGGGGAAUAUUGCACAAUGGGCGAAAGCCUGAUGCAGCAACGCCGCGUGAGGGAUGAAGGCCUUCGGGUUGUAAACCUCUUUUAGUUGGGAAGAAGCGAAAGUGACGGUACCAACAGAAAAAGCACCGGCUAACUACGUGCCAGCCGCCGCAGUAA
rnacentral:rRNA from 1 species